UCCACUAUUUUCUUUUCUUUUCGUUUAUUACUGCCAUUUUGCCCACAUGUUUUUAUUAAAUCAUUUAAACAAGUCUAUUGGGCUUCAUAUUAAGGUUAGACACUUUUAAAUAAAGAGAAAUGUGUGGGGGUUGUCGUGAAAUGUCGAGAGCAUUUUAUUUUGACUGCAUUUAUCUCACUGUUCCGUUAGCUUUACUUCCUCUUAGUGUCGGGACUUUUUGGGGUAAGCCACGUUUCCACUCUGCUCUUUGCACUUUCUUAGUUUUGGUUCAAAUUUAAACUGAAGUUAUUUGAAAUACAUGGAAAGUCAAUGUAUUAUCAUGUGGACAUUAUCUACUUGCAAUUUAAGUUAUUUUGUAUGUCCGUGUGUCGAUGUCUGUGGGUAGGGCUGCCAUGUGGCUAAUGUUCUAAACUGGCCUGUACAGUCAAGAACUUGUGCUAGCAUUUGUGUGUGUCGAUAUAAUGCGUCACCGGAAAAAUGCAAAUGUCAGAAGGAGUAAAGUAAUUAAAACAUGCUUUGGACAAACAUAUCUGCACAAUGGAGACGUAAAGAGAUGUGCAAGCUUGCUGUUCUGGCCGACACAUAGUUAGCUAAACAGAAGGUCAGGCUCAGGCUCUUUUAAGCCCCUUUCAUCCUCCAAAAAUGUCCUGACCUGGAGAAUGCGCGACCCGCUUUCGUCGGGUUAAGCGAUUUAUGGACCCGCUUAAGGAAAACGUCCUCCAGUCGAAUUAAAGAUUAUCCGUGGCUCCAUGAUUCGGCGUGGUUUGCCCAAGUCUGGGGUCCGAAUUUCGAUCAUUUUGGGCGGGUUGAAAAUCUACAAAAUGUCCUCCAUAACGGGCGGGUAACCUGGCGGUUUAGCGGCCGACCUCGGGACACGUUCGUCGGGUAAAGCGCUUAACAGAGCCGCUAUUGAAAACUUUGGGAGAGUGGCAGCGCCUUGACUUCUGCGACUGCAUGGAGCGCCCAGCUCUCCCAUCGUUCACUUAAGUGACUUAAAAUUGUUAGUCACACAAGUAUGAUGCACAUUAAUUUGAUUUAGUUGUACACUGUCGACGCCAGGUGGCAUAGAAAAGGCAAGGGGAAAACAAAACAUGAGUUUUAGACUUUUCAUGAAUGUUUUUUUCUUUUCUUUGUAGGACAAUAUGCUGGUCAAGUUGAGAUUUGGUUCAAGUCAGAAGUAUGUUAAGGUGGCAGAAACCGAAGCAGGCUAUGAAGACUACAAUACAUUUAUUGAGAGUAAUAGGAAAGUUAGGUCUUCCUCUACAGACAGACUUGCACUUGACGGAUCAAUCAGGGACAGAGGUGGAUGCAGAUGUGUUUGAGGAACUUUUACAAGCAGGGGACCUUACCGUCAAUGUGUCCACAGAAAAGUCUGGAGUUGUGCUUCAACCAGAGCUAGCAGAAAUUUCCUUUGAGUCGAAUGUGUCAGACACCGUAUCCUCUGUGCCUUCUGAUUCAUCUGAUGCAACAAUAACUCUUGAGAACGAUGGUGGGAGGAAAAGGACCCACGACGAUCGGGAAUCAGCUGAAGCGAUGGUGAGAGAUGUUCUUCAGUCCAAGCCAGGGGGAGUAAAAGUGUUGCAUGAAUAUGACAAAACGAAGACAUUGACGGAUGGUACCCUGCGACAUAUGAUAAACCUACUGGUGGCUGACAUGAUUGAAGUUCAUGGGAGGAUCCCACCAACCUAUGUGCGAACAAAAUACGCUCUUGGCACUACCACUCUAUUUCCUUACCUGGGGGAUCUUUAAUCAACAAAUGGAUAUGAGCACUUCUAUGAUGCUGACAGUGGAUCUGGUUAUUUGGCCUGAAGGAUAAAGACAGUCCAGCGCGACACUGCAGUUCUAUCUCGGAGAUGCUCAACCACCUGUACCUAUCAAGCUGGACCAAAGAGCAAGAGACAUUUUUGUUGUCUGGGCAUCUCUCCUCAGAUGCGUCUGGCUGGGACAGUGACCUGUCAAGCAUCCUACUGCUGGUUCACCUACUUCCCCCUACUGCAAGAGUCCUAAAAUUAGCUCGCAUCAAGCAAUCAAACUUGUUGUGAGAUAUUUGAGGAUUGGCGCCAGUGUUGAGACCUUCCUUGAGAGUUUGGAACCAGGACAACCCAUCCUCCUGUGUGUCGGUGAAGAGAAGACCAACAUCCAAAGAUUCUAUGUCAUCGUUGACCACAAGGCCAUCCCUUGCAAGGCUCAGACAUCCCUGGCAGCUUUCGAUGAACUCUUUAAGGCCCACUUCAUCUUCAGUGUUCACUGCCACGAAUCCCUGAACAGCUUCUACACAUUCAUCCAAACAACUGUGUUCAACCUUGAUGUGGGAAGUACCAAGGAAAGUCCUCGUGUGAAGGAGAUCAGAGCAAGACUGCUGAACACAAGUAUCUGAGGUGACGCACAUCCUUGGAUGCAAAUAUGUUGAUUUGUUUUAUCUGCAAGUUACACCACAGAAGUUCUAUGUUGCUUUGUAAGCAUUUGAGAUUUUACCAUGGUUUAUAUCCAGGAAAGACAUUACGUUUGAAAUGUGGACAGAUGGAAUGUUCUAUAUUAUUUUGCACUUAUUCAGGGUUCAAGAAACAACUUAUUCGUUUGCACCGGGACACUGUUUCAACAAAUACUGUCACUGUCACUUCAGUGCUUAUUGUAUCAAGGAGAGGGAUGAUUCAUUUUAUGUUGUUUCUAUUGAUGAGUUGAUUUAUUUUAGACCCUAUGAUAAACAGUUAUCUAAUGAGAUGGAUGAAAAAAUAUACAUUGUGCCAUGUUGUGUGACCCGUGCUAUUGAGGCUGCCAUUUAAGAAAUGUUAUUGUAAUGCAAAUGCUAUGUUUGUGGUGGGCUUGAAAAUACAAUUUUAUUUGAACAAACUUUUGUAUUGAUUUUCUUCUUUGUAAUUAAAUACUAGGAGUAUACUGAAUUCCAAAGUAAAAUUGUACCAUAUAUAGCAUUGAGGAUUAUAACUCCCGACAGUGUUAAAAUAUAUAUAUAAAUCAACUCUACAAGAGUAAAAUACAGAGUUU